UUCUGUCUAAAAUUCACGCGUUCACGGAGGCGGACCUGUCUCUCUCUCCUAGGUUUGAAUAACGAACUGCUACAGCAGCAUUUCCGGCGUCUUCUAGAAAAAACAUUCACUCUUCUCUUUCCCUCUAUCUCUAUAUAAUUCUAAGCUUGUUUGGUUAGGCCGCGUUUGGGAGAAAGAAAAGGUAAGGUAAACCGAAUAAUUUGAUACCCCUCUUGUCUCGUAACUAACGAUGGCAGCGUUCCGAUGGAAGAGCUUUGAGGAGAACGAGGAUCACCCUGAACUGUUCUUUCACUUUCUUUGAAGUUAAUGCUGGAAAAAGUCUAUUUGUAUCAUUUGGAAAGAAGUAAGCUUAAGCUGCCUAGGAUAUUAUUUUUAAUGUUGUGAAGAUUUUCUUGGGUAUUGCAUGAGUGCCUCAUCCACGAAUGUAAAAUUAUUUGUCUGGCUGAAGUCCUUAACAAUUAUUUGUUGUUUGUAGUAAGUUCAUCAAAUACUUACACUAAGACAUUUAUUGGGAUUGAUGGAGCUGGAAAGCGAUUAGCUGAUGAAAGAGUGUUUUUGUGGAGGUUGAGCCAAUUCUAAGAUCUGCAAUGGACGGGCACAAUGUGUGUUUUUGCCUAUGGUCAAACAGGCACAGGCAAGACAUUCACCAUGGAUGGUACAAAUGAGGAGCCAAGAAUUGUUCCGCGUGCACUUGAAGAGUUCUUUCGUCAAGCCUCUUUGGAUAAUUCAUCUUCUUUUACUUUUACAAUGAGCAUGUUGGAAGUUUAUAUGGGCAAUCUCAGGGACCUUUUAUCUCCAAGACAGUCUAGUAGACCACAUGAACAAUAUAUGACAAAGUGGUAACCUUUUAUCUCCAAUCUCAGAUCUACCUCUUGGACUAAUGUGAAUGAGGCAUCAAGCAGGUCACACAGGUGGGUUAUAGGUUUACUUAGAUACUUCAGAGUAUUUUAAUGGGUUUCUCAGCUUGAUAGUUACAUUAUCUGUUUAGCUUCAUAUAUCUAGCUUGACGAGGAUAAACAUAUUUCGGCAUGGGGAUGCAUUGGAAGCCAAAAGUGAAGUAAGUAAAUUGUGGAUGAUUGAUCUUGAAGGCUGCAAACAGUUGCUUAAAACUGGAGCCAAAGGACUAACACUUGAUGAGGGCAGAGCCAUUAAUCUUUCCCUUUCAGCUUUAGGUGAUGUUGUUGCUGCUUUGAAGAGAAAGAGGUGUCAUGUGCCUUACAGGAAUAGCUAGCUGGCUCAAAUACUAAAAGAUUCUCUUGCCAGAGAGAUUUGUGACUCUUGUUAGAGCUUCUCUCCAUCCUGAUCUUUGCUAGUUCACACAAGCACCAUGUUGAGGAAGCAUAGCUCUUUGAGAAGACAACAACGAAAAUGCGAGAGCCUUCGAUCGCUUGUAGCAGCUCAGGUGCUAUGGA